AAAUGCUGUACUUGGCAUUUCCAUUUUGGUU
rnacentral:sRNA from 1 species